UACGUAGGGUGCAAGCGUUUAAUCGGAAUUACUGGGCGUAAAGCGUGCGCAGGCGGUUUUGUAAGUCUGUCGUGAAAUCCCCCGGGCUCAACCUGGGAAUUGCGAUGGAGACUGCAAGGCUAGAAUCUGGCAGAGGGGGGUAGAAUUCCACGUGUAGCAGUGAAAUGACGUAGAGAUGUGGAGGAACACCGAUGGCGAAGGCAGCCCCCUGGGUCAAGAUUGACGCUCAUGCACGAAAGCGUGGGGAGCAAACAGGAU
rnacentral:rRNA from 1 species